CGUGAAUGAAGAAAGUUUUCCGGAUCGUAAAGCUCUGUUGUUGGUGAAGAAAGAAUAGAGGCAGUAACUGGUCUUUAUUUGACGGUAAUCCACCCAGAAAGUCACGGCUAACUACGUGCCAGCAGCCGCGGUAAUACGUAGGUGGCAAGCGUUGUCCGGAUUUAUUGGGCGUAAAGCGAGCGCAGGCGGAAUGAUAAGUCUGAUGUGAAAGCCCACGGCUCAACCGUGGAACUGCAUCGGAAACUGUCAUUCUUGAGUGCAGAAGAGGAGAGUGGAAUUCCAUGUGUAGCGGUGGAAUGCGUAGAUAUAUGGAAGAACACCAGUGGCGAAGGCGGCUCUCUGGUCUGCAACUGACGCUGAGGCUCGAAAGCAUGGGUAGCGAACAGGAUUAGAUACCCUGGUAGUCCAUGCCGUAAACGAUGAGCGCUAGGUGUUGGGGACUUUCCGGUUCUCAGUGCCGCAGCAAACGCAUUAAGCGCUCCGCCUGGGGAGUACGACCGCAAGGUUGAAACUCAAAGGAAUUGACGGGGGCCCGCACAAGCGGUGGAGCAUGUGGUUUAAUUCGAAGCAACGCGAAGAACCUUACCAGGUCUUGACAUCCUGUGCUACACCUAGAGAUAGGUGGUUCCCUUCGGGGACGCAGAGACAGGUGGUGCAUGGCUGUCGUCAGCUCGUGUCGUGAGAUGUUGGGUUAAGUCCCGCAACGAGCGCAACCCUUGUCUUUAGUUGCCAUCAUUAAGUUGGGCACUCUAAAGAGACUGCCGGUGACAAACCGGAGGAAGGUGGGGAUGACGUCAAGUCAUCAUGCCCCUUAUGACCUGGGCUACACACGUGCUACAAUGGGCAGUACAACGAGAAGCGAACCCGCGAGGGUAAGCGGAUCUCUUAAAGCUGUUCUCAGUUCGGACUGCAGGCUGCAACUCGCCUGCACGAAGCUGGAAUCGCUAGUAAUCGCGGAUCAGCACGCCGCGGUGAAUACGUUCCCGG
rnacentral:rRNA from 1 species